AUUGAACGCUGGCGGCAGGCCUAACACAUGCAAGUCGAACGAGUGGCGGACGGGUGAGCAAGGUCUGGGAAACUGCCUGAUUGAGGGGGAUAACUGCUGGAAACGGUAGCUAAUACCGCAUACCAUCGGAUGUGCCCAGAUGGGAUGAGCUAGUAGGUGGGGUAAAGGCUCACCAAGGCGACGAUCCCUACCUGGUCUGAGAGGAUGACCGGCCACACUGGAACUGAGACACGGUCCAGACUCCUACGGGAGGCAGCAGUGGGGAAUAUUGCACAAUGGGCGCAAGCCUGAUGGAGCCAUGCGGCGUGUGUGAAGAAGGUCUUCGGAUUGUAAAGCACUUGCAGCGGGGAGGCGUUACCCGACGAGGAAGCACCGGCUAACUACGUGCCAGCAGCCGCGGUAAUUC
rnacentral:rRNA from 1 species